UACGGAGGGUGCAAGCGUUAUCCGGAUUCACUGGGUUUAAAGGGUGCGUAGGCGGGCAGGUAAGUCAGUGGUGAAAUCUCCGGGCUUAACCCGGAAACUGCCAUUGAUACUAUUUGUCUUGAAUACUGUGGAGGUCAGCGGAAUAUGUCAUGUAGCGGUGAAAUGCUUAGAUAUGACAUAGAACACCAAUUGCGAAGGCAGCUGGCUACACAAAUAUUGACACUGAGGCACGAAAGCGUGGGGAUCAAACAGG
rnacentral:rRNA from 1 species